UACGUAGGGUGCGAGCGUUAAUCGGAAUUACUGGGCGUAAAGCGUGCGCAGGCGGUUUCGUAAGACAGACGUGAAAUCCCCGGGCGUCAACCUGGGAACGUGCACUUGUGACUGCACGGCUGGAGUGCGGCAGAGGGGGAGUGGAAUUCCGCGUGUAGCAGUGAAAUGCGUAGAUAUGCGGAGGAACACCGAUGGCGAAGGCAAUCCCCUGGGACCUGUCA
rnacentral:rRNA from 1 species